rnacentral:rRNA from 1 species
AUAAUCGAGAGUUUGAUCCUGGCUCAGGACGAACGCUGGCGGCGUGCCUAACACAUGCAAGUCGAGCGAGAAUCAUUAAGUGGAAUUUUUCGGAAUGAAGCAUAAUGAGGAAAGCGGCGGACGGGUGAGUAACGCGUGAGUAACCUGCCUUUAGGAGGGGGACAACAGUUGGAAACGACUGCUAAUACCGCAUAACAUUGUUUUUCCGCAUGGGAGAGCAAUCAAAGUAUUUUCGCCUAAAGAUGGACUCGCGUCUGAUUAGCUAGUUGGUGGGGUAAAGGCCUACCAAGGCGACGAUCAGUAGCCGAACUGAGAGGUUGAUCGGCCACAUUGGGACUGAGACACGGCCCAGACUCCUACGGGAGGCAGCAGUGGGGGAUAUUGCGCAAUGGGGGCAACCCUGACGCAGCAACGCCGCGUGAAGGAAGAAGGUUUUCGGAUCGUAAACUUCUUUAAGUGUGGAAGAAGAUGACGGUACACACAGAAUAAGCCACGGCUAACUACGUGCCAGCAGCCGCGGUAAUACGUAGGUGGCGAGCGUUGUCCGGAUUUACUGGGUGUAAAGGGCGUGUAGGCGGGCAGUCAAGUCAGAUGUGAAAUACCGGGGCUUAACCCCGGAGCUGCAUUUGAAACUGACAGUCUUGAGUGCCGGAGAGGAAAGCGGAAUUCCUAGUGUAGCGGUGAAAUGCGUAGAUAUUAGGAGGAACACCAGUGGCGAAGGCGGCUUUCUGGACGGUAACUGACGCUGAGGCGCGAAAGCAUGGGGAGCAAACAGGAUUAGAUACCCUGGUAGUCCAUGCCGUAAACGAUGGAUACUAGGUGUAGGAGGUAUCGACCCCUUCUGUGCCGGAGUAAACACAAUAAGUAUCCCACCUGGGGAGUACGACCGCAAGGUUGAAACUCAAAGGAAUUGACGGGGGCCCGCACAAGCAGUGGAGUAUGUGGUUUAAUUCGAAGCAACGCGAAGAACCUUACCAGGGCUUGACAUCCCACGCAUAGUCUAGAGAUAGAUGAAGUCCUUCGGGACGUGGAGACAGGUGGUGCAUGGUUGUCGUCAGCUCGUGUCGUGAGAUGUUGGGUUAAGUCCCGCAACGAGCGCAACCCUUAUUGCCAGUUACCAUCAUUAAGUUGGGGACUCUGGCGAGACUGCCGGUGACAAAUCGGAGGAAGGUGGGGAUGACGUCAAAUCAUCAUGCCCCUUAUGUCCUGGGCUACACACGUACUACAAUGGCCGGCAACAAAGUGAAGCGAAGUCGCGAGGCGGAGCAAAUCACAAAACCCGGUCCCAGUUCAGAUUGUAGGCUGAAACUCGCCUAUAUGAAGUCGGAAUUGCUAGUAAUCGCGGAUCAGCAUGCCGCGGUGAAUACGUUCCCGGGCCUUGUACACACCGCCCGUCACACCAUGAGAGUCGAUAACACCCGAAGUCUGUAGUCUAACCGCAAGGGGGACGCAGCCGAAGGUGGGAUUGAUAAUUAGGGUGAAGUCGUAACAAGGUAGCCGUAUCGGAAGGUGCGGCUGGAUCACCUCCUUU